rnacentral:lncRNA from 1 species
UCAGGGGUUCCGGCCCAAGUCACUUGACAUCUUCUCAAAAUGCCAUUUCUUUCCAAGCUGACCCUCUUCCUAAACUUUUGGGCAUGAAAAGGAAGGAGUGCACGAACGGUGUUAAGGCAAGACUGAUCGGACUGCGAAAAAACCUACGCCCCAGCGGCUACGGUGCCUUCGCCCAUCAGCGCUUACUGACACACCCGACCCGCGCUCCAAACUUUUCAAAUCCAAAAAACAAGGAAGAGGAUCGGAAACUUUUUUCGGCAAUUUAUAGAAAGGGCCUCUGUGGCCAUCACAAAAACGAGUUCAAAAUCAAAACUAACAUAUUUA